GUCACAGGAGUGAGCUCUUGAUGAAGGAUGAAUGUGGCCUUUCCCUUCUCACUAUUGGGCAUGCUCUCUGUGGUCCCACUUUCGACCAUGGAGAAAAGAAUUAAGAAUGUCUUAGCAAGAUGAAGACCCCCCUUGACUUGGACUUCAAGCCUCUAGAACUGUAAGGGAUUAAUCUCUAGACUUUAUGAUGGGUGAACACAAUCACAAUGAGUAAAGGGCCGAUUGAGAAAGUAGAACUUGUUAACUCAAAGCCUGUUACAAGGUGAUCUCAUUAGGCACUUCUGUGGGAGAAUCUAUCGAGAGUGGUGUGGUCUGCCUUCGGGAACAGCCACGUUCAGAGGAAGUUUCACCACCCGGUGUCUGGAGGACGAAGGCCUGGCAUAAGGGCUGCGAAGUCUAAGCGUUCAUCUUACAGUCUUCAUGUCCAUCAACCGAAUGCCCUUGCCAGCACCAGGGUCCCAGGGUUGAAGAGAGCAAAGCUCCAUUUCCUAGGUUUUGAGUACGGAGUCUUCAGAUUGAGAACGGUUCCUUGGCCUCAGGUGCAGGAGAGGGACCUCUUCAACAGUUCGUGCAGCAUAUUACAGUCAGCAAAAGGUUCCACAAAGCUGACCCAAGAAGCCACAGAAGCCAAGCACUUCUUCCUUACAAAUCUUUGGAUACAUAAAUGUGUUUCUCGUUCUUCAA